AGUACCAUGGACACGGUCUUACAUGCAGGCCUGGCACACUGAUAUAUAUAUACACUGGAUUGGAUUAAGCGUGGUGCCGUCACGCCAAUUGAACGUAACAAUUAUUGAGGUAACAAUGAGUACCUGCGUUUUUGCAAAACAAAGCAAUCAAAAUAUUGUGGACGAUCAUUUCACAAAUUUCCCGUGAAAGAUGUGUUGCGCCUUCAGCAGUGGUUAAAAGAAAUGAAGAGGAAGGACUGGAAGCCAAACCGAAAUAGCACAUUGUGUUCAGCUCAUUUUACAAAUGACUGCUUUGAUAGGACAGGAUUCCUAAUUACAUUGAAAAAAAUCAGUGUACCAACUAUAUUUGACAACCCAAAAUCAGAGUGUUCAUCUUGUCACCGAUUAAGGGAAUAUGGACGUGGCUAUUCAUUCUUCAAGUUCCCAUUGGAUGAACCUGAUAUUAUGAAGCAGUGGAUCGCAAAUAUAAACAUUGGACCGUGGUCUCCAUCAAGUGAUAGCUUUCUGUGUUCCGACCACUUUGAACCCUCUUGCUUUCAGAAGAAAAGUAAAAAUUAUAUAACUUUACCAAAAGGCAGUAUCCCAACGUUAUUUGGUGAAAACUUGCAGCAGACCGAAUUUCAGGAUGAAUCCGAUCGGCCCACCACAGUGAAUGUAACCAAAUUACAUGAGCACCUACACAUUUGUACCUGAUUUGCAUGCUCAGAUAUGUACAUCUUUUUUAUUUUCUUUUGAUUGUGCUUGUAACUUUUUCUUCAUGUGAAUGGAUUGUGGAUUGAUACUACUAAUUAUAUUGUUGUGGUUUAUCGCACGCAACUCUAUAAAAAUUCCUUAAUGUUUGCAAGGAAUGUUUUAUUCUCCAUAUUUUUGAAUAAAGUUUUUACUCACCCAAUUCGAUAUAGUUUAAUUCAAAACUUUUUUUACAUGUCUUAAGCUCCACUUUGAUGAUCAAUGGAUGGUAAAUGGAUUCCCUAACGGUUGAAUUAGUGUUAUACAAAUUUUUGAAUAAUCCGUAUGAAAUUCAGCCCACCAUAGGAUAAAGGAUAAUGGACGGAAACUUCUUAGAAUUGAGGACUUCUUUUGAACAUAAAGAAAAAUCACGCUUAAAUACAAGUUUUUCGUCAUAUUAUUUAAUGAUCUUUUACAUCAUAUAAUUGUAAAUAAUAAUAUACCUUCGAAAAAAUGA
rnacentral:misc_RNA from 1 species